rnacentral:rRNA from 1 species
UCUUUUAAUUGAAGGCUUGUAUGAAUGGUCGGACAAAAAGUAAGCUGUCUUCGGCUGUAAGAAUUGAAUUUGACUUUUAAGUGAAAAGGCUUAAAUAGUACAAAGUGACGAUAAGACCCUAUAAAGCUUUAUAGUGUAAUUUUUUAUUAUAAAUUAUAAAAUUGUAUAACUUAAUUUAGAGUAAAACUCUUUUGUUGGGGCGACAGAAAUAUAAUAAAGUAACUGUUUUUGUUUAAGUAAAACAAAUGUGUUUGGUUUUAAUAAAUGAUCCUUUAUUAAAGAUUAAAAGAUUAAGUUACUUUAGGGAUAACAGCGUAAUCUUCUUUGAGAGUUCAUAUCGACAAGAAGGGUUGCGACCUCGAUGUUGAAUUAAGGUUCCUGCGUGGUGUAGCAGUUACGGUUAGGAGGUCUGUUCGACCUUUAAAUCCUUACAUGAUUU